UUUGUAUUACGUGCGGAAAUUGUUACCAUUUUCGGCUCAAAAAUGGUAACAAUUUCCGCACGUAAUACAAC
rnacentral:miRNA from 1 species